GGCCCCGCCCCCCGCUCCUGUCGGGAUUGGCCCCGAGGCAGGAACUUUUAUAAAAUGGGAGUCCUAUCCGUUCGCUGUCCGGUUUCAAAAAUAGGAGACAGAGGUUCUUUUGAAAUACAACCAUUCCCCUUAUAGAGCUUGAACGACCAGCGCAGCUUCUGGACGGCUGAACCCUCAAUGAGCAUGCUGAUGGCCAUGACGUACUCCCUGAAAUCAACCACCCCGUCCUGAAGAAACACAGCCCAGCAUCACCGCUCACUUCAUCUCUACUGAAACUUUGUUGUACUUCAUGCGGCAGAAGAAAGAGCGUCGUGCGCCUGAGCACAGCCGCGCUGCACCGACGGGGAGGUCGGCCUGAACCUGGAGACCGGCUGCAGACACGAACGGAGUGUUAAGUACCCAGUGACCCGGAGAGUCAUUAACAGAUCAGCAGCAACUUGACUUUUAAUCCUGGAUGGGUGGAUUACAGGGCAACAAAGAUGGCAAGUUGUUGACUGGACACAGGACCCCAUAACUCCCAACAAUCCCUCUCUCAAGUUCACGUUUGUGUGUUCGUUAAAUGUUUAAUUCACCUGAUACUUGAAUGAGCGCCUCAUGAAUGAACCGACGAUCUGUACUUCCUGCUCGUGUUUUUUUUUUUACCCGGUAAUAGUAUCAUGUGAAAUUAUCGCAUUCUAGUUCAUUUCACGUCAGCGAUCUGUGAAAACAGCCGAAGAAAUGUAACUGUGAGGUUGUUAUAUUUAUGCACCGAUGUGUGCAACAAGAAACAACCACAAAGAGCACAGACAGCAAACUGUGCGGUAAAACGAGUCACGAGCUACCUUGUGCCACCCGGACUUAGAUUCCUAAAAUUAAUCGUGCAGUCCCCUGGGAUGUACCCAGCAAGUCCUCAUUCUUCAUUUUUUAAUUGUUUGCUGCCCUCAAACAUUUAUGCUGCGAUGGCACAAAGUUAACACCAUCAACACUGAACAAGAAUUAAUGCAACCCACAGAACCCACCUGAAAAUGCCAGGACAAGAAAGUGCUGGGACAUUGUUUCCGAAGGGCAAUUAAAUGGUUUUGUAUUGCAGGUUCUGUCACGUGAGAUCAUUUUGUGGCCACAUCAAAUUCAGCUAAAAGUUCAAAGGUUCAAAAAAAUUCCUUCCUGUGUGUCAACUGCUCAGAGAGACUCACUGAAGUCAAUCUACUGUUAAAACAUAAAUUUAAUAAUGUGGCAGCGUGCAAGGUAUUUAUAAGAAGAUUUUAGUGUUAUAGGACUAAAUCCAGCACCGUUUUUGAACCUGGUCUUUAAAAGAUUUGUAUCCUUAAGGAUUCCAGAUGUAUAAUCCUAAAACAAUCUGUUGGCUUUCCAUACAUCUAAUAGGUGUCCAUUUUAAUACCAAAUCCCAAAUCCUCAUAUUUAUUAAUACUGCGUUUUAACUCCUAAUCUAGGAAAUCUGAGGACAAGCCAGAAAUAACUGAAGUAAUGAUCCUGUUUGACCUACAUUGUAUGUAACUCCCUGACUACACAUGGGCCAGUGGGCAUUGUAACAGCUAUGCAAGAUAAAUAAUCUCACCUUUUUUUUUUUUUUUUUACAGAAAGAUUAUUUCAACACCGGAUGCAUCGCAUUAACAACUAUAUUUUUAUGUCCGUCUGAAAUUUGAUAGAAGCAGUUGCUGUUAAUUACGUAAAAACGCAUUUUUAAACAUUUCUUUUCCCCCUCUCAGUUUGAGCCGUGUUAUGUGUGUGUAUUUUAUUGUUAAUUGGGCUUUCAGCGUCUAGAUUUAAGGGGACAUACUACAGUCUCUUAAUAGGGACACUUCCUGUUUUGACAAUUUAUGAAAUCUCUCUUUCAAAAAAAAAAAGGACGCUUCUUCAGUGCAAUGUAUCAUAAUUUUACAGAGCAAAUAAAACCUAACGUCGGCGUCACUUAACAAAAGGAGUAUGACUUCAUGUAUUGUUUUCGGGUCAAAUAAAUAAAGGGGUGUAUUUGGAAACAUGCUGUAGUCGGUGACAGAGUAAAGAGAAAAGGGUUCAGCUAACUUACAGGCUGCCAGCUAACACAAAAACUAAUAUAUAUGGCAGCUUAAGAUGUCAGGAAAGCCUAAACGGCAAUAAAAAUAGCUGCUAUUUUAUAUUACACAUUACAGAAUAGCAAAUUAUUAAAAGUAUUCACAGUAAUUUACUGCUCUGGGCUGUAAAACUCCCUCUAAUGGACUCGGUCUGUGUUGGGCUCAUUGCCCUGGUAUCCAAGGCCUUGUUGCUAAGCUAACUUUUGGUUUAUUGGUUUGUGUAAACAUUAGCAGGAAUUAAACGCACAGUUUUUUUUGUUUUUUUUUUGCGUGUAAAUGAUGUCGCCCCCGUUGACAAAUAACACGUCCAUAUUCUUCGUGAUAAUUUGGCGGAGUGACAAACACCGUCGUGCAGGGUUACAUAAAUGUCGUAGCGUUAGAGGGCGAGCUUGCUCCACUGAUCUACUGACCUAGUUUCGGGAUGGCGCAAAGUGAACCGGUGAGAAACUAAACGCCGCUUACGCUUCCUUCCUUCCUCCUUUCUGGUAAAUCGCUGUGCCGGACGCAGCAUGUGUCCGCACCAAAACUGGAAGACAACACA